GAUGAACGCUGGCGGCGUGCCUAAUACAUGCAAGUCGAGCGAACGGACGAGAAGCUUGCUUCUCUGAUGUUAGCGGCGGACGGGUGAGUAACACGUGGACAACCGACCUAUAAGACUGGGAUAACUUCGGGAAACCGGAGCUAAUACCGGAUGAUAUUUUGAGCCGCAUGGUUCAAAAGUGAAAGACGGUCUUGCUGUCACUUAUAGAUGGAUCCGCGCUGCAUUAGCUAGUUGGUAAGGUAACGGCUUACCAAGGCAACGAUGCAUAGCCGACCUGAGAGGGUGAUCGGCCACACUGGAACUGAGACACGGUCCAGACUCCUACGGGAGGCAGCAGUAGGGAAUCUUCCGCAAUGGGCGAAAGCCUGACGGAGCAACGCCGCGUGAGUGAUGAAGGUCUUCGGAUCGUAAAACUCUGUUAUUAGGGAAGAACGUAUGUGUAAGUAACUGUGCACAUCAUGACGGUACCUAAUCAGAAAGCCACGGCUAACUACGUG
rnacentral:rRNA from 1 species